UGAUUAUAAUAUUAUUAUUUAAUUUAUUUAAUUUAUUUAAAUAAAAGUUUAUAUUUUCUAAGUAUAUUUUAUAGAAUUGUUUAUUUUAAUUAUAGUUUAUUUUACUGUAAGGGUUAUUUUGUUUUCAUAUAGAAGCUUAUUUUAAUUUAUAGUACCUUUGGUAUCAGGGAUUAUCAAUAAAGUAUUAUAUAUAUAAUAUUUCUCGAAAAUGAAAGAGUUAAAUUUAUAUGGAUUUUUAUGUUUUAUAAUAAUAUUUAAUAUAAAUUUAGGGGUUAUAUGCUAUACAAUUUUAUUAUAUCUAGUUUUUUAAUAUUUGAAUUUAAUUCAUAAUUAUUAAGUUAUAUAUUUUACUUUAAUUUAUUUUAAUUUAAUAAUUAAUUGUUAUGGGGGAUUAGCUCUAUGAUAUUUUUAUAAUAUUUUCUAAAUCUAUAUUUUUGUAGGCUUGAUAACUGCCAUCUUAAAUUUCGUUAUAGUUUAUUUAUAUUUAGUUUUUAUUUAUUAAUUAUUUAAUUUAUUAUUAAAAUUAUGAAUAUAUUAAUUAUUUUUAUUUAAUAAUGAUAAUAUUAGUAGUUUAGUAAAUUAGGGUUAUAAUAAUUCGGCAAUUUUUAUUUCCGCCUGUUUAACAAAAACAUGUUUUAUUGAUUAUUUAUUUUAAAUUUAACCUGCUCGGUGAUUAUUAUUAAACAGCCGCAGUAUAUUGACUGUGCAAAGGUAGCAUAAUAAUUUGUCUCUUAAUUAGAGUCUUGUAUGAAUGGUUGGACGAGAUAUAGUCUUUUUUUAUUUUAUCUUUGUGAAUUUGAUUUUUUAGUGAAAAAGCUGAAAUGUUUUUAUGGGACGAGAAGACCCUAUAGAAUUUUAUUUUUGUUAUAUUUCUUUGAUUUAUUUUAAAUUAUGGGUUUUAUAAUUCAAAAAUUUGAUUGGGGUGAUUUUGGAAUUUUAUUAACUUCCAUUUAUUUUAUUUCAAUAAUUAUUGUUAUUUUUGAUCCUGUAUUAUGGAUUAUUAGACAAAAUUACCUUAGGGAUAACAGCGUUAUUCUUUUGGAGAGUUCUUAUUGAUGAAAGAGUUUGCGACCUCGAUGUUGGAUUAAAGAUAGCUCUGGGUGUAGAAGUUCAGUGGCUAGGUCUGUUCGACCUUUAAAUCUUUACAUGAUCUGAGUUCAGACCGGUGUGAGCCAGGUUGGUUUCUAUCUAUAAAUUUAUUUUAAUAUUUUAGUACGAGAGGACCAUUUAUUAAUAAUAUUUAUUAAUGUUUUGUUUUAUAUUA
rnacentral:rRNA from 1 species